rnacentral:rRNA from 1 species
UACGGGGGGGGCAAGCGUUGUUCGGAAUUACUGGGCGUAAAGGGCCAGUAGGCGGCCAACUAAGUCGGAUGUGAAAUCCCCAGGCUUAACCUGGGAACUGCAUCCGAUACUGGAUGGCUUGAAUUCGGGAGAGGGAUGCAGAAUUCCAGGUGUAGCGGUGAAAUGCGUAGAUAUCAGGAAGAACACCUAUGGCGAAGGCAGCUCUCUGGGACGGUACUGACGCUGAGACGCGAAAGCGUGGGGAGCGAACAGG